rnacentral:rRNA from 1 species
GUCGAACGGACUCAUAUUGAAACCUAGUGAUUUAUGAGUUAGUGGCGGACGGGUGAGUAACGCGUGGAUAACCUACCGUAUACCGGGGGAUAACACUUAGAAAUAGGUGCUAAUACCGCAUAAGCGCACGGCUCCGCAUGGGGCAGUGUGAAAAACUCCGGUGGUAUACGAUGGAUCCGCGUCUGAUUAGCUAGUUGGCGGGGUAACGGCCCACCAAGGCAGCGAUCAGUAGCCGGCCUGAGAGGGUGGACGGCCACAUUGGGACUGAGACACGGCCCAAACUCCUACGGGAGGCAGCAGUGGGGAAUAUUGCACAAUGGGGGAAACCCUGAUGCAGCGACGCCGCGUGAGUGAAGAAGUAUCUCGGUACGUAAAGCUCUAUCAGCAGGGAAGAAAAUGACGGUACCUGACUAAGAAGCCCCGGCUAACUACGUGCCAGCAGCCGCGGUAAUACGUAGGGGGCAAGCGUUAUCCGGAUUUACUGGGUGUAAAGGGAGCGUAGACGGCAGCACAAGUCUGGAGUGAAAUCCCGGGGCUUAACCCCGGAACUGCUUUGGAAACUGUGCGGCUGGAGUGCAGGAGGGGUAAGCGGAAUUCCUAGUGUAGCGGUGAAAUGCGUAGAUAUUAGGAGGAACACCGGUGGCGAAGGCGGCUUACUGGACUGUAACUGACGUUGAGGCUCGAAAGCGUGGGGAGCAAACAGGAUUAGAUACCCUGGUAGUCCACGCCGUAAACGAUGAUUACUAGGUGUCGGGGGAUC